UUUGGGUGUAUUUUCUGUAUUGAUUUGAGUGUCUUUAUUACGUUCCAUUGGGUGUAAGUUUAGUAUUUUAUUUCUUGUUUCGCAAUUCUUGCAGUGCAUGGCACUUUCGGAUCACCCAAACGGGGAAUUCGUAUCACCGAAAAUGAAAAAGGAAUUCAGGGUGGAAGCCUACCCGAGUUUCAUUCCCUUCAUAGAUAGAAAAAAAAUUGACUUCGCACCCAUAUAUUUUUGCCCCUGUCUGCUACUCGGGGCAUUGGUGGUUAUGGCUGAUAAAUACAAGAAAGCGAAAAUGUCAAAUACUUGACCCGCUACACAAAAAAGCUCCCACCGAUGAGAGAAAGGCCAUUAAUAAAUUCACUGUAAGUUGCCUCUGUCUUCUUUACUUUAAUAGAUAGGUCUAUUUCUUUAGUUCUGAUGGGUGUAUAUUGUCCAUUCAGUUGGGUGUAUCUUGUCCAUUCAUUCGGGUGUAUUACUGAUUUGUUUUCGUAUUUAAGGGAUACGUAUUUUCAAGAUUGAUAACAUAUGCCGGCGGGGAACCUCUUCAAAAAGGGGAGAGGGAGAAGGAAAUUAAAUCACCAUAUGUUAAAAUAUCUGGCCAAAAAACAAGGUAUAAAUUUGUGACUCUGAACAUUAAACUUUUGUAAAUGAGAUUUGUAAUUUAUUUUCUUCGUUUUCAGCUAUGACUGCGCUGUGUACGUUAUGAAGUGGAUGGAGUUAAUUGAGCCGUAAAACAUCAAAAAGGGGAAGUAUCAAUGGGAUAAUUGGCCACAGGAGGAGGUGGACCACUAUAGAGUGGAGUACGCUUCCCGGAUACUAUUCAGUGAGAUGAAUACACAGAGAGAUCGGGCAAUUAGAGAGAGUAGUGCUAUAAGGCUGUCGAAGCCAUCCUCUAUAUUAUUAAGUCCGUUUUGUCAGAUUAAUUCUGCUGAUAUAGAAACUGGGUAAUCCAACUGCUUGGUAGUUUGUAAAUUGAACAAAUGAUGUAAAUAUUUGCCAUUUAUCAACAACUUCUAUUCCAUGUA